rnacentral:rRNA from 1 species
GAUGAACGCUGGCGGCGUGCCUAAUACAUGCAAGUCGAGCGAACAGACGAGGAGCUUGCUCCUCUGACGUUAGCGGCGGACGGGUGAGUAACACGUGGAUAACCUACCUAUAAGACUGGGAUAACUUCGGGAAACCGGAGCUAAUACCGGAUAAUAUAUUGAACCGCAUGGUUCAAUAGUGAAAGACGGUUUUGCUGUCACUUAUAGAUGGAUCCGCGCCGCAUUAGCUAGUUGGUAAGGUAACGGCUUACCAAGGCGACGAUGCGUAGCCGACCUGAGAGGGAGAUCGGCCACACUGGAACUGAGACACGGUCCAGACUCCUACGGGAGGCAGCAGUAGGGAAUCUUCCGCAAUGGGCGAAAGCCUGACGGAGCAACGCCGCGUGAGUGAUGAAGGUCUUCGGAUCGUAAAACUCUGUUAUUAGGGAAGAACAAAUGUGUAAGUAACUAUGCACGUCUUGGCGGUACCUAAUCAGAAAGCCACGGCUAACUACGUG